UGGGGAGUGCAUUUUCUCCAGCCGAUCAGCAGGUAUUUCCAUCUCUGAGAAGGCAUCAUAAAAUAAGAAAUCAAUAGAGCUUCUAUUAUCAAUUAGGACAUGGCGUACAUCAUAGUUUGCGAUAUUUAAAUUAACAACUACUGCAUCGUUAUGCGAAAACUAGAUUCUUUGGGUAUCUUCUUCAGUAAAAGUUAUUAAUUCUCCAAUCCUUCACUUUUUUGUUGCUUCUUCAUCUCCACUGGGUCCUCCACCAUGAUGCCCCCUAGUGAUGGUGUUUAUCAUGCUAACUGGGGGCUGGUCCUCCUAUGGCCCUGCUCACUGUGAUUGCUUUGUCAGCUAAGGGGAUCUCUGCCAUUCUUCUCGUUGCUCCCUCCUUCGUCGGAUGAACCGAUCGAGAUGACCACGUCUAAUAAAAUUUUUGAUCUCAUCUUGGAGUUCAAUACACUCAUCUGUGUUAUGGCCGUGAUCUCGAUGGUACAGACAGUACUUAUUAGAAUUUCUCCGACUAGGGAGUGUCCAUAACUUCCUCACCUUCAAGAGUUGUCCUCUGAUUUCUAUCAGUACCUAAGUCCUUGGAGCAUUCAAUGGGGUAUAAUUAUUGUACCUC
rnacentral:lncRNA from 1 species